rnacentral:ncRNA from 1 species
AGCUUGGGAGAGUCCCAAUGGGCGCCGAAGAAGCAAAUUGCACCGGUCGGGGUGUGACGAAACUUUCAGGCAAAAGGACCAAGCU